rnacentral:tRNA from 1 species
UCCCUGAUAGUAUAGUGGUCAGUGCGCCUGUCUCAAAAACCGUUUCAAGCAGCAAUGCUAUGAAAUGAAAAGUAACCAGGAGGCCGAGGUUCGAUUCCUCGUCAGGGAG